UCUAACACCGGUUCUCAUACAAUCACCGAAGUUAAGCAAUGUCGCGCCUGAUCAGUACCUAGGUGGGUGACCGCUUGAGAAUACCUGGUACUGUAA